rnacentral:lncRNA from 1 species
AUGACCAGUUCUGCUCCUGUGUCUUGUUGCAUUAAUGUAAUUUUCUGGAUGAUGUGUAAGAGAUAAUAUUUUUGAUUUUCUUUAGGGAGCCAAGUUUAGUUUUAUAUUUUCUAUGUUAGUGCUCCUCCCAUCCAGACCCAAACACCAGGGUGGUAUAAUUAGUGUGUAUUGUUUUUGUAUUGGGCAAAUUUGGUUCCCUACGCCCAUAUAUUAUCUACAUACGUCCUCGGUGAAGAAAGCGGCCUAAUUAUGGUAGACUCGAGUAAGGCCGGCCUCAGUUAAUAGACGGACCGAGUGACAUGACUUGCUGCAACAUCGUUUCAAGCUCUCACACUCGUACAUUUAGGCCACCAACCCUUGUACCCUCAGGUAAUAGACGGACCGAGUGAUAUGACUCACUGCAACGUCGUUUCAUGCUCUCACACUCGUACACUGAGGCCACCACCCUUGUACUUUCCUUUAGUUAUUUCGAGUAAGGUCCCUUAGUAUAUAAAGGGGGCCUUCCUUUUGUAAAGGAUCAUGUGUAUUUUACUAUUAAAAAUAUACAACUCUCUCUCUAUCUGAUUCUCUCUCUCUCUUGUGCAAAGUUUACUACCUAUCUUAUUGCUCUUAUAUCUCGAAUCAUUGACACUAUAAUUAAUCUUUAUCACUUUAGGCUCUCUGGCUCAUAUUACGUUUGAUUCCGAUUAACUCAUACUAUUUUUGAUUGUUUUAGAACCAAUCUUGGUCACUUUAGGCUCUCUUGCUCAUAUUACUCUUGAUUCCGAUUAACCCAUAUUAUUUUUAAUUGUUUUAGAGCUAUUUAAGUAUUCAAAUAACUUUUUAGCCAAAUAAUUUGGCGCCGUCUGUGGGAAUUUCGAGAAUCAAAGUUGUAGGUUGUUUCUAGAGAUCCUUUGAAAAACCACUCUCCACAACCUAAAAUGGCUGAGGGCGAGAAUGAAAGCUAUCUUGGAUGUCAGAACAGAUCUCACAGGAACUCUCAAUGCAGCUGCUGAAGGAGAUGCCCUGCACGCAACCCCCAGUAACUUGGUAAGUGUGGAACACCUACCUUCCUCGUCAGAAGAUCUGGUGGUUCCACGAGAAAGAGAGGCUUCAACAUCUACAACCAAAGAAGCACCCCAGAGGUAAAGAAGUUACUGGAAGAGUGGCUGACAAACACUCUGAGCACUCUAGCUAAGAAGCCGCCUCAAAAUAACAGAUACACACCAACAACAGUUCACGUUGCGGCCGAAGAUGAACUCGAAGUCACGAGAACGAACAACGUAACCGCCGAUGCUCAAGCUAACAGCGGCACACUCACAGCCAUCCUCAAAAAGAUGGAAGAAACGGAAAACGAAAAUAGGUCGCUUCGUGACCAGAUGAAGGAGCACCAAGAAAGGGUGGAUAAGAUUCCAGACGCGCCCAAGUUGCUACCAAAGCGAUAAGUGGGGAGGUUCGUCGAACAACCUUACACAGAAGAAGCUGCGCCAUACCCCAUCCCAAAGACCUUCAAAAUGCCCCCCUACUUGAAAGUAUAUGACGGGACCAUCGAUCCCGAGGACCACCUGAUCCACUAUGUCACAGCCGUCAAAGGCAACGAUCUAUCUAAAGAACAUGUACCAUCCGUACUUCUGAAGAAGUUCGGUAAAACACUGAUAGGAGGGGCUGUAACGUGGUACUCACAGCUACCAGCCAAAAGCAUUUCCACAUUUGAGGAGAUGGCGGAUAAAUUUGCCACCGCCCAUGCAUGGCCAAGGAAGGCGGAAGCACGAGUCAAUGACAUUUUUGUUGUGCGACAGACCCCAGGAGAAGAACUUAGGGAGUUCCUAGACAGAUUCAACAGGGUCAGAAUGAGCCUACAAAACGUAUCCGAAGGCAUGACAGUUGCGCCUUUCAGAACGGGAUCAGCAGAUAUGGCUCGAGGGCGACCAAGAAACUACUCAGGCGUCUCCUGAAGUAUCCUCCCACCACCUGGGAAGAGAUACACAAUGACUAUUGCGCCGAGGUACGUGGGGAUGAUGACGACCUUAACGGCCCAACCCGACGGUUGACGAUGGUGCACCUAGAAAUUCGGAGGGACCGGCGCAGCGAGGGAAGGCGGGAGCAAGUCCUACGCUUCAACAGGGAAAGACACCAAUCAUACAUCAGGUCCUCGCAUCCGCCACCACCGAGGCAUGCAGACGCCUUACAACAACAUGUCGCCCCACCAAGGAACGACAGAGGUAUGCCUCCUUCAUUAUUUGCACAUAACUUUUGUGUAUCUCCUUCAGAAGUAGUGUACGCACUGGAGAAGCUGGGCAACAACGUACAAUGGCCAAUAAAGAUGAAGUCCGACCCCGCCACCAUAAAAUCAAAUGCCCCAUGCGAGUUCUACCAAGAAUGGGGGCACAGAACGGAGGACUGCAUAGGUCUCCGACAGGAGGUGGUCCGAAUGCUAAACAAAGGGUUCUUGAAAGAUCUGCUCAGCGACAAAGGAAAGCUCAACUUCGCACGUGGGCGGGAACAACGCCAUAGCCCACCAUGGUCGCCCUCACCAACAUGCACCAUCAACAUGAUCAUUGGAGACGGCAAUGAUUCGGCGAUCAAUCACAUCAAAUUCACCACCACCCACAAGCUGAAGCGAACCAUCGCUCACAAACAGUAUGACGACUUCGAAGAUAGUAUCACCGUCGAUAAGUCUUAUGCCGACGAUUUGUGUUUUCCUCAUUAUGAUGCAUUAGUUAUUACUUUGCGCAUAGUAGACACUGAUGUUAAAAGGAUCAUGGUAGACGAUGGAAGCAGCACAUGUAUCAUUCAUCCAAGAGUCCUUGCACUCAUGGGACUCGAGGAUAAAAUAAUUUGACGCUGCAUAACACUAACAGGUUUUAAUAAUGCAGUGGAAAGAACCUCAGACGAGGUGACGCUGCCCAUUCUGGCAGGAGGGGUUACGAUGGAAACCACUUUCCAUGUGAUGAACCAAGAAACGGCAUACAACGCCAUUAUCGGACGCCCAUGGAUACAUUCCAUGAGAGUCGUCCCCUCUAGUUUCUAUCAAGUGAUCAAAUUUCCAACCCCAUGGGGAGUGCAGAGCAUAUGUGGAGAGCCCCGCACCGCCCAAGAAUGCUAUAAAAUAGCUCAGGAUUACACGCACACCAAGCAACUCAAGGGAGCAAGUGCUGAAGCAUAGCAAUCAGCCCUGUUGGGGACUGAGGUCCAUCCGACAUAGAACGCCAUCAAAGAUCCUGAGGACGUCGAGGCUUGCAAGGCUACGGUCGAAGACCUCGACCCCGUCCAGUCAAACAACAGUGACCCCGCAAAGAAAGCUUACAUAGGACACGGCCUAUCAAAUCCAGUUCAGUACCGUGAAUUUUUAUCUAACUCACUUUUUCCCAUGAAGAUAUGCCGGGAAUUCCAGGAGAAAUUGCCUCCCACAAACUCAACGUCGACCCAUUGCAUUCACCCGUGCGACAGGUAAGAAGAAAAUUCAAUGCUGCCAUCAACGAAGCAGUGAGUGAUGAAGUAGACAAGCUGCUAGCUAAUGGAUCCAUCAGGGAAUCCAAGUACCAGGAAGGGGUCGCUAACGUCGUAAUGGUCAAAAACAAAAAAUGGGAAGUGGCGGAUGUGUGUAGAUUUCACCGAUCUAAAUAAAGUAUGUCCAAAAGACUCAUUCCCGCUACCCCACAUCGACCAGCUGAUAGACGCAACGGCGGAUGAGCUGCUAAGCUUCCUUGAUGCGUAUUCUGGCUACAAUCAGAUCAUGAUGGCCGAAGAAGAUCAGGAGAAGACAACUUUCAUCACUCACCAGUGGAUGUAUUGCUAUAAAGUAAUGCCCUUCGGGCUCAAGAACGCAGGGGCCACUUACCAAAGGCUGGUGACGGCAAUGUUCAAAGAACAACUCGGCAAAACAAUNNNNNNNNNNNNNNNNNNNNNNNNNNNNNNNNNNNNNNNNNNNNNNNNNNNNNNNNNNNNNNNNNNNNNNNNNNUGUUCAAAGAACAACUCGGCAAAACAAUGGAGGUCUACAUCGACGACAUGUUGGUCAAGUCAUCAAAAAAGGAAGACCACCUCACCCACCUAAAGGAAGCCUUCAAAAUAUUAAGGAAGUACGACAUGAAACUGAAUCCCGAAAAGUGCGCUUUUGGAGUAGCUUCACGAAAGUUCCUGGGAUUUUUGGUGUGAGCACGUGAUUUUUGCCCUAUAUAUGAAUUACUCCCAGAAAAUGCAAAAUAAAACAAUUUUUAGUUUGCUUGCAAUUGUUGUGAAUUUUGUGCUAUUUUUUUGUAUUAUUUGCAUUUUUUGUAAGUGCAUAUUUAUUUGUUUAAAUAAAUAAAAAUAUAAAAAUAUGUUGCAUUUUGAAUUUAAAAUCUAAGUUUAUAAUUAGGAGUAAUUAAGUUUGUUUUACAAGAAUAAAAAUUAUAAAAAUUUGCAUCGUUUGCAUUUUUAACAUAUAAUGUCCAAGUUAUGCAGUUUUUUUAAUGGGUGUUUAAAAAUUGUGUGAUAACUAUUAUUUAGAGAUAACUAAUAUUCUUAGAAUUAAUUUGGAUUUUUAUAAUUUAAUUGGGAUUUCUAGUUUCAAUUUUUGAAAGAAUAAAAAGGAAAAAUCGGAUUGGGCCUCUUACUCUAAUUUGAAUUAACCUGGCCCAAGUGUUUCACAAAUCCAACCCAAAAUCACUGACCCGACCCGGUCCAUUUCCACCCCACCUCUCUUUUGAUUUUUCAGAUUUGGUUUUCAUUCUCUCACUUAACCAAAAGACCAAACCCUAAACACACUCUAAUGCUCUCAAACCCUAGCCGCCACUAUUCAUCAUCUUCUUCCUCCAUCUCCAAACCCUUCCAUGGCUGCCCUUCCCAUCCACUUUCCCUAUUCCUCACUCCUUGUCCCCUUGUCCCCCACGCUUUGUCUCUCACACUUUUAAAAAUACACGGACAUAACUACUACAUGGAGGACUUCAUUUUGGAAGAAGGCUUUUGAUUGAGAAAAAGAGGAUGAAAGUCCACUGUUUGAUCUUCUUCUUCAUAAUCAAAAAGAGAACAAAACACCCUCACGUCAAAACCUCACACAAAGAACACACGAAUACACGCUUAAGACCAGGUGAAAGGGGGCUAAUUGUUCAUUCACGACGGGGACUGUUCAUUCGUCUUCUUCAUUGUCAAAAAGAGAGAGGCCACCACUGUUUGUCAUCUUCUUCAUGGUGAGGAAGAUACAAAAACAACAACAAACCCGUCUCUAACCUAACAGUUCAUUGUCACACCUCCAAACGAAGUCCCAGCUCGUAACCAUCCCCCAAACCUCCGUCGACCAUAACCACAUGAUAGUCGACCACUCCAGCCAGCUCGAAGCCGCCGGUCAGCCGCCUCACCCAAACGAGCAGUAGCGAACAACAACUGCUGCUGCUCCACCCAUCCAGUCAUGCCACUCCACUUCUCCACCCGUCCAACCACUCAGCUGCCCGUCCCCCAGCCAGCCAUCGCCUUCGUCGCCCGCUUCGUGGUCGUCUUCGUCGUCUAGUUUCGUCGCUUGAAAUCAACCAUAAAAUAUAAAAAUUUUCCGGGCCAGAUUCGAGUUUAUUUUGGGUUUCAAAAUUUUCGGGCAGAUAUGUUUUUGUUCGAGUUCGUCAUUGUUUAGAUUCGGUUAUUGGUUUAAGUUUCAUUUUUGUCCAUAUUUUGUUUAAUAUUUUCGGAUCUAAAAAUCAGUAUGUUAUUUUUCUUGUUCAUUUCUUGAUUAUUUCUUCAGUUUGUUUGAUUCAUUUGUUCUUGUUUAGUUUUAAUAAAGAAAUGUUUUAGUUUAAUCACUUGAAUUUUUCUAUCUUGAUUGUAAUAUUGUUAUAUUUAAUUUGAAGUUCAAUUGAUGAUUAAGUUUACUGAGUUGAAAAUAUUUUAGUUUAAUCACUUAAAUUUUUAUCUUGAUUAAAAUGUGCUAGAUUUAAUUUAAAGUUUAAUGGAUUGUUGAGUUUAGUGAAUUGAAUCCGUUUUAUUAUUCUGUUUAAGUCUAAUUUUGGAUCCGAGUUAUAAAUUUGAAUUUAUUUGUUUGAUCUGUUUAAGUGAUUUGAAUUUGCUUGUUAGUUAUUGUUGUUAAAUCUGAAAGUAUGUUUGUUGUUGAAAGUGUUAUCUAGUCAAAAUAAUUUUUGUUCAUUAUUGUUCAUAUUUUAGUUUGAAUUGUGGGUUGAGUUUGAUUAAGAAUUGGUUAUAGUUGUUAUAUUUUGGUUAAUUAAUUUAGGUGAAUUGGUUAUAGCUGAUAGGGGUAGAGUGGUAAUUUAAUAAUUUCAUGGGGGUAUUUUUGGAAUUAGAAAUAUAAAGAAUUAUUUAAUAAAUAGUGGGGAACAUAAUUAUGUAAAGUAAAAAAUGGGGGAUAAGGCAUAAUCAUUAAAGUGAAAGUGGGUGGGGAAUGUGGGGUCUACGUUUGACUACUUUUUGCUUUAAUAAUAAAAGCUGGAAAGUAAAAGUAAAAGGAGGCGGUAAUAAUAAAAGAGUAGUAAUAAUAAUUAGAGGGGAGAAAUCAGUCUUGUUGGAGAUAUAAAAUAGAAGUCAUUUGUCACUUAAAAAAGAAAAAGAAUUAGACUGAUCAGAGAGAAAAAUUGAGACUGAUUUUGAGAGAAAAAAAUUUCAGAACUUAAGAGUAAAAGGAAGGUCUUUUCUUUACCGCUGAAUAUCAGAAUUAGUACUGUUACUACUUCAUUGGUUAUUGCUGGAUUUUCUGCUUGAUUUUUAAAUCUAUUCCUAGGUCUUCCUGCACUGUUUGUUACUGGUUUACUGCUUUUGUUGCUGAACCUUUUGUUGCUGUGUUGUACUACUACUGCACUACCGACUUCUUCCUCUUCUUUGCUUUCCAAAUACCAGGUAUACGACUCAAACACUGGCUAUUGUAAGCUCAAAAUGUAGAAGCAUGAAUACAUAUAAAAAUGGAAGUUUGAAGAUAUGAUUUAACUGUUCUUCUUUACAUGAUUUUAUUUAGAACAUUUCUUAUACUACUGUUAUGUAGAUUUCUGCCAGCUUUGUAUAGCUGGACUGUAUUCAGUUUGAUUUGGAUUAAUUGAAGUUAUAAUUAUAAUGAACUAUUAGGAUGUAGUUACCAGAUGUAGUAAUAUUCUCUUGUAGAAUAAAGCACGAAACAAUUCUCCAUUUUUACGAGCUAGAGUGCAAUUUUCGUUCGCAUUAAUCUAAUAACUAAUAAGAGGCCCGAACUUGCCAAGAAUGUGAAUUAAUUAGGAUUUUUUCUUAUAUUUUAUUUUAGAGACAAACAAAAAAUAGAAAUAUAGUCACUUUAGGAUUAUUCUUUUAAAAUAAACGAGAUGAGCCUCGCCAAAUAAAAACGCAUAGGCUGCGGGGCCCUCAAUAAUUGGAUAUAAUAAUUGUUUAGAUUUCGGGAUGAGUCGUUUAGUGAAUUUCACGACCUUCCCCAAAAUAACAACGCUCUAGACUCUUUAGGCGCGUAUUUUAAAUAUUACCUCCCUAAACUCGAGUGUAUAUUGAUGUGACCCAAAUUCAAAUCGCAGCGAAGUCAAAACAUGUCGACAACCACGCGUACACUGGUUGUGACGUAGUUCGAGAUACGUUUUUGCGACGUUGUAAUUCUCUACUUAUAGUAAUUAUAAUAAUAAUAAUAAUAAUAAUAAUCAUAAUAAUUGAAGCGCUUAAAAGUUAAAAUUUGCACAUAAGUUCAUAAUUGUUUAAAAAUCAAAUGAAUAAGCCGAAUAUAAAAGUUGAGCGACCAUGCGAGAACCACUGAACUCGAAAAUGCCUAACACCUUCUCCCGGGUUAACAUAAUCCUUAUCUGGAUUUUUGGUUCGCGGACUGUUAAAGAGAGUCAAUUUUUUCCUUGAUUCGGGAUUCAACUGGUGACUUGGGACACCAUAAAUCUCUCAAGUGGCGACUCUGAAUUAAAUAAACAAAUCCCUUUUUGAUUGUCCUUUAAUUGUAAAGACUCCUUUCCGCCCCUGCGGCGCGGGUAAAAAGGAGGUGUGACAGCUCUGGCGACUCUGCUGGGGAUAAUACCGCUGAACCACUGGUCCAGGGUUAGAAUAGUCGAACUCUUGGGAAUCUCCUAAAAACUUAGUGAGAAAUGUCAAUAGCAAGCUCGAGCUCAGAAAUUGUUGUAUUUUUUUGGCUUUAUAUUAUUAUCUGAUAUUUCCAUGUGAUAUAUGCUUAAUGUGCAAAUUGAUGAUUUUCUACCGCUUUGAUAUUAAUUGAACUGUAUAUAUAAACUGUGCCGAAACUCUUCUCUUCUCCCUCUUGAGGAGUGCGCGCUGGUCAUGACUUCUUUCUGUUAGUGUCAUAAUCCCAAUUUAGUACGAGGAUUCGGUGGGAUUGCAAAACCAGAGGAUCUUUUUGUUACCGACACGCAGUUCCCAUCCUUGGCUUGAGUUGUCCGCUCGGGUAAAAAGCCAGGUUUAGAACAACAACCUAGGUUGAAGCUUUUUAUCGGAGGAUCUUUUGGUUACCGGCACGCAAUUCCCAUCCUCGGCUCGAGUUGUCCACUCGGGUAAAAAGCUAGGUCUAGAACAAAAACCCAGGUUUAAACCUAGUAUAACAGAACUUCAUGCCGGAUCCCUAGUAGGAACGUUUGUUUGCAUCAUGUUCAUUUGACUUAGGGGGCUCAACACAGGGGUUGAGUCUGUCUAGGACAAGAAACCUGAAAUGAAAAGACCAUCCUGCUGCAUCCUAUUUGUUUUAUGCAUUUAUUUUCUUCAGACAUGCAUGCUGACCGGCUUUGAACAUAAGGAAAAUUUGAAAAAAUAAAUAAAUAAAAUAGCAGUGUAGAGUGUUAAUUACAUAUUUUUAGAAAAUUAAUUUCCAAAUAAUAUCGGAACUUUGCCGAAAUUUUGAAAAGAAAAAAUAGGAAAAAGAGCCUUUUAUUUUUUGGAAAAUUAUUUGUUGAAAAAGAAUUUGAAAAAGAGUCUUUAUUUUAGUUUGGAAAAAUAUGCUGUUUUAUUGUUUGGAAAAAAAAAGAAAAAAAAGGAAGAGUCGUUAUUUAGUCUUGCCAUAAAAAUGAAAAUGAAAAAUAUUCUUGUUUUUUAAAUAGUUUUUUUAUGAAAUGCUAAAAAUAAAAAUGAAAAAGAGUCUUAUUUAAAAAAAAUAGUAUUUGCUUUUGAAAUACAAAAAAAAUGAAAAUGAAAAAAACUGAGUUGUUUUAAAAAUAGUUCGUGUAAAUGGCGAACUACGCUGGUUUGAUUCUCACUGGAUGUGAGAUAUGUAGGCAACCCUCAUCGGGUCCAACCUCCCCUUUUGCUAAAAUAACCAAAAAAAAUGUCAAUUUUGAUUGUCAUCAUAAAUAAGUCGAGUGAUGCCGUUUUUGUUAAAAAUAGCCGAAUGUUCCCGAAAGGGACGCCGGAAGGCUGACUUUGUAUUAACGGCCACCUUUAAUCACUGUUUUAGGAUUUGGGCCGGUUAGCUAAUGCAACCUUAAAAUCUUCGUCCCCGUAAUGCUGCAAGGUCGUGUUUGCAAUACCAAGUCUUUUAUUUUAAUUUGAAAAAAAAGAGUCAGUGGGCAAGUGAGUGCCAUUUGGAUAUUGGUCAAAAUAAGCCGAGCCUGCUUCGGCAAUAUCUUAAAUCGUUCUUGCCAAGAUAGCCUUAGAAUAUCUUUCAAUUGUUGAAAGGCUAUUUUCGUAAAAGAACGAACAAGUUUGUGAAAUGUCAUAAAAUAAUCCUUUUCGGCCUCAAAAUUCAUGUGAAAUUGAGAAGGGUCCACGUCAACAAAAAUAGCCAUUUGGUUAAAAUGGGCAUAUAAGGGAAAAAAUAUGUCAGUUUGUUUUUUAUUUGUAUUUCUUUUAAUAAGAGUAUGUGGGUUGUUUGAUUGUCAAGUCUGUAAGUAUUCUUUUCGUCAGUCUGUUACUAUGGUCAGUUUUUUAAAACUAUGUAAUCAAGUUUGUUUUAUUGUAAAAAUUGAAAAUUCCAAACAAAAAAAAUGUUUUAUUGUUUUUUUACCUUGCAUUGGGUCCGAAUUACGCAAGGUUUGAUUCAUGCGGGGUCAUGAUACAUAGGCAAUCUCCAUAAGAUUCGACCACCACGAAAAAAAACAAAAAUUUAAAAAUGAAAAAGAUGUUGUGAAUAAUGAGGACCGACUAAUUCCAUUCUAACAUAUUUUGUUUUGAAUUUUGAGAAAGCUGGAAUGAUCGGUUUGUGGUAAGUUGGAAGCACAUGAUCAAGGAAAAUUUGAUUCAAGACAGUGACAUCCAGAAUAUCACGUUGAAUCCCUUAUAUAAUGAUGCACACUUUGUGUGGAUGAUGCCCGGUAACAUGGGGUAUGAGAAUGUACUAACUAAAUUUGAAGAUCUUGAAGCAGAUAGUGGUCUUGACAAUAUGGAUACGAAGCUCAAUGGCUAAAAAUGAAGUGCUUGUUAAUUUGAAAGACACUCCAUGUCUGGGUCAGCUGGAGGGAGUCUGGUGGUAGACCUUGAUCUGUCUUUCAUGUUUUCUGGAUUAUUCCAGGGUGUAAUCCAAAUUUUUGUUUUAUUUUUAGCAAAAGUGUGAACCGUGUUAUCCCCUGUUUUAUUAAAGUAAAAGUUUUUCUUGUUUUCGUUUAAAUUUGUUUCUUCUUCUUCUGUUGCUUUCUGAACAGUACUCUUUUUGCUGGUUCUAGUGACAAGGCAUACACGAUGGAUCCUCAACCCAGUCUAAAAAAAGGUCAAUCAAUCUGACUAUGAACUAAUAAUACAAGAAGUAGAUUGAUCAUAAUGAGUGGGUCAAAACCCGAAUGGAGCGGUAAAGGCGGCCAACUAUAACAUAAAGAAGAUAUUGAGGAAAAUGGUAGAAGGGUCCAGGCAAUGGCAUGAAAAGCUACCAUUUGCAUUUUUGGGUUAUCGCACUACUGUUCCUACUCCAGUAGGUGCAACUCCUAAUCUGUUGGUAUACAAAACUGAAAUAGGGAUACCAGCAUAGGUUGAAAUUCCGCCUCUCCAAAUUCUCGCCGAGGCUGAGACUGAUGAUGAUGAAUGGGUCAAAGCCUGAUUGGAGUAGUUGAGCUUAAUUGAUGAAAAGAGAUUGGCAGCAGUAUGUCAUGGCCAGUUGUAUAAAAAGAGAAUGGCAAGAGAAAUAAUAAAAAUGUGCGUCCCAGGAAAUUUGAAGUGGGGCAACAAGUGUUGAAACGAAUCAUGCCACGUCAGGCCGAAGUAAAAGGCAAGUUCGCCCCGAAUGACCGUUCAUUGUGACCAGAGUGUCAUCCAAAAGUGCUUUAUGUGUGACAGAUAUCGAGGAAAGAUGUAUCUACACAGCUAUCAAUUCUAAUGCAGUCAAGAUGUAUUUUGUAUGAUUAUAAUUGUUUGUUUGUUUGCACUUGGCAUUAAUCGGAGGAUGAAAUGACGGAGGUAAUUUUUUCUACUAGCCAAACACUUUAACCCUUGCUUCCCCCUUUUAGCCUUAUGUAUUCUUUCAUACCGCUCUCUUGGAAUCAUUAAAUGAAAAAACGAUAAUGAAAAAUGAAAAAAAUGAAACAAAAAAAUGGAAAAAAAAAAGAAGAAAGAAAAAUGAUAAAAAAAACAAACAAAAAGGAAAGUCACAAGAAAAAGGAAUUUGAGUGAACUACGUUUGACCUGAUUCCUCAAAGAGGAUACCUAGACGCCUCACGGCUCGGUUAUAGCGUGACAAAGUGUCACAAAAAAUAAAAAUCCCCCAUGCAAGAAAACUGGGGCAGAAGUUAUGUUUUUAAAUUUUGAAAAGAGGUUUGAUUCCAAGAGUUGUAAUGUUUUACCCAUCAAAGUUAUUUUGAAUUUUCAUCUCCUUUUCUUUUAAGCCCCACAUAAAACCCAUAUUGAUGUCCAAAAAAGACCUCCCGAUCAGUAUUCGAGAGGUGCCAAGGCAGACAAAUGAAAGCCGAGAAUAACUCGCGGGUCCCCGACUGAAUGAGGAUCAUGAGAUGAAAAGAAUGGAUAGUCAAAAGAAGUCCCAGCAGAGAGAAUCUUAUCCGUAACACUCCAAUCCCCAGCUGAGAAGAUAAAAUGAGAGAGUCUUAUCGGUGAAAACCUUCACAGGUACCAUAAGGUGACGUAAGAUGAGAGAAGCAGAAUGAGAGAGUCUUAUUAGUGAACACCCCUCGAAGGGAACUAUGAGGCGACGAGGUAAGAUUGGAAAAAGGGAUCCACAUUUUUGCGAAGAGUUGGGCACCUGUUUAGCCCCAGCAGGUAAAGACAUCAGAAAAAUUGACUGAUACAAAUAGACUGGGUUUAUUAAUCCGGAAUGCACGACAUGAUCGUUGGGAUCGGUUAUACCACCCUGAUAAGUUCCCUUUCUUUUCUUUUCCCUAUCAUUUGUUCAGAAAGAUUUUCUCUUUUUCUAUCUUUUCAUUUCUUUGUAUAAAAGACUUUUUUUUCAGAAAUUUAUUUUGAGAAAUAUCUUUCAGAGCUUACUACCAGUUGUCGAAAUGGUACAAAUAAAAAUGGGAAGAGGACAGGCAAAAGACAAGGAAAAAAGAGAUUUGUUGCAAGAUCGAAUAGUAUGUCAAGGAAAUUAUGGAGAAAAAUAGGAAAAUAUGUUGAGAAAAUUGUGGACCAAAUUCAAGAGGGUCCCCAACAGAUCAUCGAGAUGUUGGAGCAUCCCCAACAGAUUUUCGACCAAGUUCCAAGAGGGUCAGACAACACAGAGUGGGGAUGGAAGAAAAAGAAAAUUCAUCCCCAGCAAAAUAAUCCCCAGCAAUCUUUGAUAGCAUAAUGAAACACAAGAGCGGGGAAGGUAGAAAGGGAAAAACCAUCCCCAGCAGGAGUGGCACGACCACUCACCAUGUUUUAAAACUAACAAAUUUUCUUUGAUUUGAAGCAGAAAAAGGAAAUCUUAUUAUUGGCGAACUAUAGGCCAGAAGGAAGAGCACCAAAACUGGGGCAAAAAAUAUUCUCCAAUUGUCAAAAAUUUUCUCGAAGGAACGAGGAAAUAAAUUCAAGUUUUAAGGGAUAGCAAAAUAGCACAAUUUUCAGAAAAAUGGUCGGAGGUAUGAUAAUUUCAAUUUUGAAGUUAGGAGCCCGUCCGUAUAAUAGAGGUAUACAUUUCACUCUUUAAAUUUCAAGUUUUGAAGAUGGGUCUAUCCGCACUCGAUUAGGAUAUGAUAGGUUCAUCCGCCUUCGAACAGGAUAUUAUAGGUUCAUCCACCUUCGAAUAGGAUAUUAUAGGUUCAUCCGCCUUCGAAUAGGNNNNNNNNNNNNNNNNNNNNNNNNNNNNNNNNNNNNNNNNNNNNNNNNNNNNNNNNNNNNNNNNNNNNNNUCGAAUAGGAUAUUAUAGGUUCAUCCACCUUCGAAUAGGAUAUUAUAGGUUCAUCCACCUUCGAAUAGGAUAUUAUAGGUUCAUCCGCCUUCGAUUAGGAUAUCAUAGGUUCAUCCACCUUCGAAUAGGAUAAUAUAGGUUCAUACACCUUCGAAUAGGAUAUUAUAGGUUCAUCUGCCUUCGAAUAGGAUAUUAUAGGUUCAUCCUCCUUCGAAUAGGAUAUUAUAGGUUCAUCCGCCUUCGAAGCUUUGAAUAGGAUAGGUUCAUCCGCCUUCGAAUAGGAUAUUAUAGGUUCAUCAGCCUUCGAAUAGGAUAUUAUAGGUUCAUCCGCCUUCGAAUACGAUAUUAUAGGUUCAUCCGCCUUCGAAUAAGAUAUUAUAGGUUCAUCCUCCUUCGAAUAGGAUAUUAUAGGUUCAUCUGCCUUCGAAUAGGAUAUAAUAGGUUCAUCCGCCUACGAAUAGGAUAUUAUAGGUUCAUCCGCCUUCGAAUAGGAUAUUAUAGGUUCCUCCGCCUUCGAAUAGGCUAUUACAGGUUCGUCCGCCUUCGAAUAAGAUAUUAUAGGUUCAUCCGCCUUCGAAUAGGAUAUUAUAGGUUCGUCCACCUUCGAAUAGGAUAUUACAGGUUCGUCCGCCUUCGAAUAGGAUAUUAUAGGUUCAUCCGCCUUUGAAUAUGGUAUUAUAGGUUCGUCGACUUAGAAUAGGAUAUUACAGGUUCGUCCGCCUUCGAAUAGGAUAUUAGAGGUUCAUCUGCCUUUGAAUAGGAUAUUAUAGGUUCAUCCGCCUUCGAAUAAGAUAUUAUAGGAUCAUCCGCCUUCGAAUAGGAUACUACAGGUUCAUCCACCUUCGAUAGGAUAUUAUAGGAUCAUCCGUCUUCGAAUAGGAUAUUAUAGGUUCAUCCGCCUUCGAAUAGGAUAUUAUAGGUUCAUCCACCUUCGAAUAUGAUAUUAUAGGUUCAUCCGCCUUCGAAUAGGAUAUUAUAGAUUCAUCCGCCUUCGAAUAGGAUAUUAUAGGUUCAUUCGCCUUCGAAUAUGAUAUUAUAGGUUAUCCGCCUUUGAAUAGGAUAUUAUAGGUUCAUCCACCUUCGAAUAGUAUAUUAUAGGUUCAUCUGCCUUCGAAUAGGAUAUUAUAGGUUCAUCCACCUUCGAAUAUGAUAUUAUAGGUUGUCCACCUUUGAAUAGGAUAUUAUAGGUUCAUCCGCCUGGAAUAGGAUAUUAUAGGUUCAUCUGCCUUUGAAUAGGAUAUUAUAGGUUCAUCCGCCUUCGAAUAGGAUAUUAUAGGUUCAUCCACCUUCGAAUAGGAUAUUAUAGGUUCAUCCGCCAUCGAAUAGGAUAUUAUAAGUUGUCCACCUUCGAAUAGGAUAUUAUAGGUUGUCCACCUUCGAAUAAGAUAUUAAAGGUUGUCCACCUUCGAAUAGGAUAUUAUAGGGUUGUCCACCUUCGAAUAGGAUAAUUAUGGGUUCAUCCACCCUGAAGCAGGAUGCUGUUUAUUCAUCCGCCUUCUAAUAGGAUAAUUCUGGGUUCAUCCGCCCUCAAAUAAGAUAUUGAAUCUAAUCCUUCCUCGAAAGGACAUUUAAUUUGUUUCGACCCGAGUGGUUCUGCUUGUAUAAACAUUGCCAAAAUAUAUAUUUCAUAAAUCAUUGCCAAAUGCAUUUUAUUUUUAAAGUUGUUAAUAAAGUCAGGAGCCCGCCUGUAGAACAGGGAAAUAUUUUCAAAGUCAAAUUAGAAGACGAUGAUGUAGAGGAUCAUAGCAAAAUAAUCCCCAGCAUAGUAAGUUUGAUGAAGGAAGCGCUAUCCCCAGCAUACAGAACAAAUUGAUGAAAUUUGUGUUCUGAAAAGGCAAAAGGCCAAUGUUAUUUGCAUCAGUUUUUGGAAGAAAGAAGCACCGGAAGAAACACAAGCAGACAAGAAAGCAAGGCAGCAAAAAAACAAUUGAAGAUAGAUAGGAUCUUGUGAUCUGUAGUCUACCCUAGCUUCUUGUUUUCUCUUUUGAAACAAUGCAAUAAGGAGAUCAGUAAAGCAAUAGUAACAGCAUGCAGCAGCAGUAACAGCAAAAUUGCAGUCCCUUGGUAGUCCCAGCUAGGGAUAUGUAGGAAACUUGCGAAGCAAAGGUUCGGUCAAAACUUUCAAAAAACACUUCAAACAGAGUACUCAAACGGGCAAAAAUCGCUAGUGUCCGCUCCCUUUAUCUUUGCACGAAAACUCUUCAUGCUUUCGGGCAAAGAGGGGCAGCUGUGAGCUGUGACAUUUUCCCGAUAUAUGAAUUACUCCCAGCAAAUGCAAAAUAAAACAAUUUUUAGUCUGCUUGCAAUUGUUGUGAAUUUUGUGCUAUUUUUCUUGUAUUAUUUGCAUUUAUUUGUAAGUGCAUAUUUAUUUUUUUUAAAUAAAUAAAAAGUAUAAAAAUAUUUUGUAUUUUGCAUUUAAAAUCUAAAUUUAUAACAAGGAGUAAUUAAGUUUGUUUUACAAGUAUGAAAAUUACAAAAAUUUGCAUAGUUUGCUUUUUUAGCAUUUAAUGUCCAAGUUAUGCAGUUUUGUUUUAAUGGGUGUUUAAAAAUUGUGCGAUAAUUAUUUUUUAGAGAAAACUAAUAUUCUUAGAGUUAAUUUGGAUUUUUAGAAUUUAAUUAGGAUUUCUAGUUUCAAUUUUUUAAAGAAUAAGAAGGAAAAAUCGGAUUUGGCCUUUUACUCUAAUUUGAAUUAACCUGGCCUAAGUGUUUCACAAAUCCAACCCAAAAUCCCUGACCCGACCCGAUCCAUUUCAACCCCACCUCUCUUUUAAUUUUCAGAUUUGGUUUCAUUCUCUCACUUAACCAAAAGACCAAACCCUAAAGACACCCUAAUGCUCUCAAACCCUAGUCGCCACUAUUCAUCAUCUUCUUCCUCCAUCUCCAAACCCUUCCAUGGCUGCCCUUCCCAUCCACUUUCCCUAUUCCUCACUCCUUGUCCCCUUGUCCACCACGCUUUGUCUCUCACAAUUUGAAAAAUACACGGACAUAACUACUACACGGAGGACUUCAUUUUGGAAGAAGGCUAUUGACUGAGAAAAAGAGGAAGAAAGUCCACUGUUUGAUCUUCUUCUUCAUAAUAAAAAAGAGAACAAAAAACCAUCACGUCAAAACCUCACACAAAGAACACACAAAGACACGCUUAAGACCAGGUGAAGGGGGCUGAUUAUUCAUUCACGAAGGGGACUGUUCAUUCGUCCUCUUCAUCGUAAAAAAGAGAGAGGCCACCACUGUUGGCAUCUUCUUCAUGGUGAGGAAGAUACAAAAACAACAACAAACCCGUCUCUAACCAAACAGUUUGUCGUCACCCCUCCAAACGACGUCCAAGCUUGCAACCAGCCCCCAAACCUCCGUCGACCAUAACCACGUGAUAGUCGACCACUCCAGCCAGCUCGACGCUGCCGGUCAGCCGCCUCACCCAAACGAGCAGUAGCGAACAACUACUGCUGCUGCUCCGCCCGUCCAGUCAUGCCACUCCACUACUCCGCCCGUCCAGCCACUCCACUGCCCCGUCCCCCAUCCAGCCAUCGCCUUCAUCGCCCGAUUCGUGGUCGUCUUCGUCGUCUAGUUUCUUCACUUGAAAUCAACCUUAAAAUACACAAAUUUUCCGGGCCAGAUCCGAGUUUAAUUUGGGUUCCAAAAUUUCCGGGCAGAUCUGUUUUUGUUCGAGUUCGUCGCUGUUUCGAUCCAGUUAGUUGGUUUCAGUUUCAUUUCUGUCCAUAUUUUGUUUAAUAUUUUUGGAUCUAAAAAUCAGUAUGUUAUUUUCUUGUUCAUUUCUUAAUUAUUUCUUCAGUUUAUUUGAUUUAUUUGUUCUUGUUUAGUUUUAAUAUAGAAAUGUUUUAGUUUAAUCACUUGAACUUUUAUCUUGUUAUAAUGUUGCUAGAUUUAAUUUAAAGUUUAAUGGAUUGUUGAAGUUAGUGAAUUGAAUCCGUUUUAUUAUUCUGUUUAAGUCUAAUUUUGGAUCUGAGUUAUAAAUUUGAAUUUAUUUGUUUGAUCUGUUUAAGUGAUUCGAAUUUCCUUGUUAGUUAUUGUUGUUAAAUCUGAAAGUAUGUUUGUUGUUAAAAAUGUUAUCCAGUCAAAAUAAUUUUUUUCAUAUUUUAGAUUGAAUUGUGGGUUGAAUUUGAUUAAAAAUUGGUUAUGGUUGUUAUAUUUUGGUUAAUUGAUUUAGCUGAAUCGGUUAUAGCUGAUAGAGGUAGAGUGGUAAUUUUAAUAAUUUCAGGGGGUAUUUUUGGAAAUAAAAAUAUAAAGAAUUAUUUAAUAAAUAGUCGUGAACAUAAUUAUGUAAAGUAAAAAAUGGGGGACAUGGCAUAAUCAUUACAGUAAAAGAGGGUGGGGAAUGUGGGGUCCACGUUUGACUACUUUUUACUUUAAUAAUAAAAGCUGGAAAGUAAAAGUAAAAGGAGGGGGGUAAUAAUAAAAGAGUAGUAAUAAUAAUUAGAGGGGAGAAAGGGGUCUUGCUGGGGAUAUAAAAUAGAAGUCAUUUGUCACUUAAAAAAAGAAGAAAAAUUAGACUGAUCAGAGAGAAAAAUUGAGGCUGAUUUUGAGAGAUAAAAAUUUCAGAACUUAAGAGUAAAAGGGAGGUCUUUUCUUUGCCGCUGAAUAUCAGAAUUAGUACUGUUACUACUUCAUUGGUUAUUGCUGGAUUUUCUGCUUGGUUUUUAAAUCUAUUCCUGGGGUUUUCCUCCACUGUUUAUUACUGGUUUACUGCUUUAGUUGCUGAACCUUUUGUUGCUGUGUUGUGCUACUACUGCACUACUGACUUCUUCCUCUUCUUUUAUUAUCCUUUUAAAAUAAACGAGAUGAGCCUCGCCAAACCAAAACGCAUGGGCUGCGGGGCCCUCGAUAAUUGGAUAUAAUAAUUGUUUAGAUUUCGGGAUGAGUAGUUUAGCGAAUUGCACGACCUUCCCCAAAAUAACAACGCGCUAGAUUCUUUAGGCGCGUAUUUUAAAUAUAACCUCCCUAAACUUGGGUGUACAUUGAUGUGACCCAAAUCCAAAUCCCAACAAAGUCAAAAUGUGUCGACAACCACGCGUACACUGGUUGUGACGUGGUUCGAGAUACGUUUUCGCGACAUUGUAAUUCUCUUCUAAUAAUAAUAAUAAUAAUAAUAAUAAUAAUAAAUGCGGUUAAAAGUUAAAAUUUGCACAUAAGUUCAUAAUUGUUUAUAAGUCAGAUGAAUAAGCCGAAUAUAACAGUUGAGCAACCAUGCUAGAACCACGGAACUCGAAAAUGCAUAACACCUUCUCCCGGGUUAACAGAAUUCCUUAUCCAAAUUUUUGGUUCGCGGACUGUUAAACAGAGUCAAUCUUUUCCUCGAUUCGGGAUUCAGCCGGUAACUUGGGACACCAUAAAUCUCCCAAGUGGCGACUCUGAAGUAAUUAAAAAAUCCCUUUUCGAUUGUCCUUUAAUUGGAAAGACUCCUUUCCGCCCCUGCGGCGCGGGUAAAAACGAGGUGUGACAUUUGGUAUCACAAAGGGGUAUCAAGGUCAACCCUGACCAGAUCAAGGCCAUAGAAGCCAUCCCAGAAACGCUGAGCAGCAACAAGCAGGUGCAUAAGUUGACAGGUCGGAUAGUCGCCCUCUCCAGGUUCAUCUCAAGCUCCUCCUUUAGGUGCCACAAGUUCUUUGGUGUAUUGAAAAAUGACCAGGGACUGCAGUGGAGCGGAGAAUGUGUAGACGCCCUGAAGAACAUAAAAGCAUACUUAUCAUCACCGCCCCUACUAGUGAAAUCCAACAACGGUGAGCCAUUGCUGAUAUAUUUGGCCGUAUUAGAAUCGCAGUCAGCGCUGUCCUGGUGCGCAAAAAUAAAGGUACGCAAUCUCCUAUUUAUUAUAUUAGCAAAUCUUUAGUGGACGCCGAAACCCAGUACCCCCACCUUGAGAGAUUAGCCUUAGCACUCGUAGUAGCUUCACGAAAGCUACGACCAUAUUUCCACUGUCAUCCCAUAAGGGUAGUAACAACCUUCCCUCUGAGGAGCAUCCUACGUAAACCCAAACUCUCAGGGCGACUCGCCAGAUGGGCCGUCGAGCUCAGCGAGCAUGAUAUUAUAUACCUCCCAAGAACCGCCAUCAAGUCGAAAGUUAGCUAACUUUAUCGCCGACUUCAGCGCGGAAGUCCUGCCAAAGGCAGAACUCGAGGCACAACGCGCAUCCUCUGAAAAUGACCUAUGGGUCCUUUAUACGGAUGGCGCCGCCAAUACAUCGGGAUCGAGACUGGGACUCGAUCUUGAGGUCCCACGGGUGAGACAGUUUUCAAGGUUAUACAAUGCCCGGAAUGACUAACAACGAGGCCGAGUACGAGGCUGUUAUUGUAGGCAUGAAACUGGCCUCCAAGUAUGGGGCUCGCCAAAUUCUCCUCCACUGCGACUCCCAGCUUGUGAUAAACCAUAUCACUGGGACUUAUCAAAUCAAAGAACAGAGGUUACAAAAGUACCACUUAGGACUCCACAAACUGAUGACUACAUUCGACGAAUGCCGUUUCGAACAAAUUCCCAUAGCACGGAACAUCGAAGCGGACGGCUUGGCAAAGGUGGCUGCCGCCACCAAAAACAUCAACAAAGAAAGUGUGGUCACACUCCUCCACUCAGCUAUUGACCACACCGAGGUAUUUUCCUUAAAACUGACUUGGGACUGGCGCAACGAGUUCAUAUCUUAUUUGUUGGACGGGAUACUAUCCCCCGAUAAAAAAGAGGCAAAAAAGCUUCGCAUACAGGCCGCCUGGUACUGCAUGAUCAAAGACGACCUUUAUAAAAGGGCGUUCGGUGGUCCCUUGGCCAAGCUCUUAGGGCUACAAAAAACAAGACCGGUACUCUAAGAAGUACACUAAGGCCAUUGCGGUGCCCACACUAGCAACCGCGCCCUCGUGAGGUGCAUCAUACGCGCCGACGACUACUAGCCUAUCAUGAAGAAAGAAGCAGCUGAGUAUGUCCGCUGAUGCGAGCAAUGCCAAAAGUUUGCCUCGAUGAUACACCAACCAGGAGAUCCCCUGCAUUCCAUCACCUCCCCCUGGCCAUGCAUCAAGUGGGGAAUUGAUAUAAUCGGCUUGCUACCCUCAGGACGAGGAAAGGUAUGAUUUUUACUUGUUUUAACUGACUAUUUCUCCAAGCGGGUGGAAGCAGGUGCGUACGCACAAAUACGCGAACAAGAAGUCAUCACCUUCAUAUGAAGGAACAUCAUAUGCCAUUUGGCAUCCCCAAUGAAAUUAGCUGCGACAACGGGCGCCAAUUCAUUGGUCAGAAAAUGACCGAGUUCUUUGAAAAAUGGCGCAUCAAAAGGAUACUGUCCACACCAUAUCACCUUGCCGUCAACGGUCAAGCGGAGUCUUCCAAGAAAACAAUUCUAAACAUACUAAAAAAGAAGCUCGAAGAUGCCAAUGGGGCUAUGGCCGGAACUACCACCCGAAGUCUUGUGGGUGCACAUAACCACACCCAAGUCUAGCACCGGGGAAACCCCCUAUUCUCUAGUUUAUGGAACCAACGCUGUCAUACCUGUUGAAGUGGGCGAACCCAGCCUGAGGUAUUCACACACCAGUGGGACAUAAAACAACAUCAGCAGACUCUAAGAUCUCGAUAAAGCUGAAGAAAGAAGAGAAAUGGUCCACAUCAGGAUGGUAGCCAAAAAACAACAAGUCGAAAGAUAUCACAACAAAAGAGCAAAAAUAAGUCCACUCAAAGUAGGGGAUUAUGUCCUCAAAACCAAGACUUUGGCCUCAAAAGACCCAAAUGAAGGGAAAUUGGGCAUAAACUGGGACGGACCCUACAAAAUCACGGCGGCGACCGGGAAAGGAGCAUUCCAGCUAGAGAUAAUGGAAGGAAAGACACUCCAGAAAAACUGGAACGUCACUCACCUCAAACAUUUCCACUUCUAAAAAGGUGUCACCUGAGUCGUACUUUUUUUCCCUUACCCGAGUUUUGUCCCAAUUGGGUUUUCUCGGAAAGGUUUUUAACGAGAAGGCAAAGGGGUCACCUGGAGAUGUUUGCAGCACAAGUGCAUCAUGUCCGCCUCUCCAUGUACUCUCCAAGACAGACAUGAUACAGGGACUGGAUUAGUGUCAUCUGCAGAUGUAUAGAAAAGCUACGACCAUCUCCAGAUGUAUAGAAAGGCUACGGCCAUCUCCAGAUGAAUAGAAAGGCUACGGCCACCUCCAGAUAUAUAGAAAGGCUACGGCCAUCUCCAGAUGUAUAAAAAAAGCUACGGCUAUCUCCAAAUGAAUGAAAAGGCUACGACCAUCUCCAAAUGAAUGAAAAGGCUACGGCCAUCUCCAAAUGAAUGAAAAGGAUACAACCAUCUCCAAAUGAAUGAAAAGGCUACGACCAUAUCCAAGUAAAUGAAAAGGCUACGGCCAUCUCCAAAUGAAUGAAAAGGCCAUCAGGCCACGACCAUCAUUUUGCAUGGCUAUGGCCAUCGUUUUCAUAAGGCUACGACCAUUAUUUUACAUGGCUAUGGCCAUCAUUUUCAUAAGGCUAUGACCAUUAUUUUAUAUGGCUAAGGCCAUCAGGCUACGACCAUUAUUUUAUAUGGCCAUCGUUUUCAUAAGGCUAUGGCCAUUAUUUUACAUAGCUAUGACCUUCGUUUUCAUAAGGCUACGGCCAUUAUUUUAUAUGGCUAAGGCCAUCAGGCUAUGACAAUUAAUUUAUAUGGCUAAGGCCAUCAGGCUACGACCAUUAUUUUACAUGGCUAUGGCCAUCGUUUUCAUAAGGCUAUAGCCAUUAUUUUAUAUGGCUAAGGCCAUCAGGCUACGACCAUUAUUCUAUAUGGCUAGGGCCAUCAAUCUACGAUCAUUAUUCUACACGGCUAAGGCCAUAACAUUUAAACGACUAAGGUCAUCGAAUUUCAUAAGGCUAAGGCCAUCAUUGCUACAUGGCUAGGGCCGUCGAAUCAUGAAAAGCUACAGCCGUUGUUUUACACAGCUAUGGCCGUCAAGUUCUACACAGCUAUGGUAAAAAAAUACAACAACGUGCCAAAAAGUAGAAAAAAUUACUUACAACAAAAAUUAUAUGUUUUUAUCAAAGGGGACAAACAUCCAUGAUACAAAAACAGUAUUUACAGGCAUAUUUACAAGGAUCCUAAAAGUUCAAUACUUAUCCUGCCCAGCCUGGCCUUCAGGUGGCCCGUCCUCAUUUCCAGGAGGGUACGUCUUAGAAAUCCAAGAGCUAGACUCCAAACAAUUGACGUCUGUAGAGUUGCUCCCCUCCAGGGCCGGCGAUUCUGGACUAUAGCCGGCCGCUUCACGAGCGACUCUAACCAAUUAGCGUUGGCUCUCAACUUCUGCUUUAAAUUCUUGACCAGCCGCAAGGAAUUCCUCAAGCACGACCAUCCUGGCCUCCGCAUACACCCACAUCUCGUGCGCUUCACGAGAUGUAUUGGCCUGUGUAAGAGCUCGCUUGAGCUCCUCGACCUCGGACUUCAAGGCAUUGAGUUCCUCCGUUAAAGGUGCAACCUGGGUGCGUAAUUCUGCCGCCUCCUCCGCCACCACACGGCCAAGCUGUAGCUCCUCGUCCUUGGCCUGAACAAGGACCUCUAUCUCCGCGGCCCGAGCAAUAGCGUCCAUGAGCUGUUCAUCAUCUUUCUCCAGCUCAGCCACUCUUUUCUUCAACUGCUCCUCGGACUCCACGAGGCCCUCACGAACCACCAUAAUGUUUGGGUCCUACUUAUACAUAUCGGCCAAGGUCCGGUGCAACUCACGCGUCUUGUUAUACUUCUGCACCAGCCUGUUGUAUCUGGCCGUCUUCUCCUUCUAGCAUCGAUCCCUUUCCGCCUCUAGGACAAGAGUCUGGAAAAGAAACCAAGUAAGUAUGAGGAAAAUCAUCCUCCACUAACACAAAAGAAAGGUCAUCGAUCAAGGCAAUGGCAUACCUAUAAGGCCGCACCUGCCACCCUUUGGGCCAAAACCUUGUCGCUAAGUUCCGCCAGGGUCGCACGCUCGGCACCGGCAUACAAGAGCGACAUACCGUUGGCCACCUCCUUGCAAUUCUCCAACAAAUUAUAGUGACUAGGAAUCACUAUGCGACAAGAAGACUGGCCGUGCGGCUCGCACAUCUUGUUAUACUUCUUUUCCAGCCUGUUGUAUCUGGCCGUCUUCUCCUUCUGGCGCCAAUCCCUCUCCACCUCUAGGACAAGAUUAUGGAAAAGAAACCAAGUAAAUACGGGGAAAAUCAUCCUCCACUAACACAAAAUGAAUGGUCAUCGAGCAAAACAAAGGCAUACUUGUAAGGCCGCACCUUCCACCCUUUGGGCCAAGACUUUGUCGCUAAGUUCCGUCGGGGUCGUACGCUCGACGCCAGCACACAAGAGCAUCAUACUGGUGGCCGCCUCCUCGCAAUUUUCCAAUAGAUUAUAGUGACUUGGACUCACUAUGCGACAAGAAGACUGGCCGGUCACCAUCUCCACCCGGUCCAAGGACCCAUCUCCUCUGCACGCGUCUUCCGUGGCGGCCCCCGGUACCGGUACAUCCAUGCUUUCGCUCCUUCUCUCUGUGGUCUCCCUCCUAAGAAUGGCCGUCUCUGAGCGAAUGGCCUUUACCAUAAAAACUGCCUUGAUCCAGGGCGGGAUGGCUUAACCUUCCUCGUCUGAGUAGCCACGACCUUGCCUGUAAGAAUCCGAUGCUGCCUCAUCUCUAAUGUUUCCUCCUCUUCACUGUCCCCCUCCGUGGGAUGCAGAGCGAGCUCAGAGGGAGUCGGUUCAGCAGAGAACGUCCCUAUGGGGGCAAUCUCAGGAACAGCCGUCGGUACUUCCAUAGGCAUUGUCUCGGGUACGACCCCCAAAACGGCCUCAGGUACUGUCUCUGGAGCCACUUCUAAAGCAACCUCUUGCCUUGAGAGGGGCGAAGUACUGCCCCUGGACGUACCAACAAGGAUUAAGUCCUCCCCAGGGCCGGAUAUCUCCAUAGAAGGGCCGACCACGAUCGUCUUCUUCUGCGCCUUUUUAGACACGCCCCGACCUGCUAAAACAUGUAUGAGACGGGCAAUAAAAUUAUGGGGACUUAUCAAAUCAAAGAACAAAUUAGGUAAGGCUGUUACCUGCCGGGCCAUGGAACCUAAGGAAUUCAGGCCAGGAACGGCAUUCUUCUGUAAACGGUAUUAACGCUUGCACCUAUGACCUAAUUAGGUAAGACCGUUACCUGCCGGGCCAUGGAGUCGAAGGAAUUCAGGCCAUGAACGACAUUCUUCUGCAAACGGUAUCAACACUUGCACCCAUAACCUAAUGUCGCCAAUUCUUCGAGGAGGGCGAGCUGUCACUGAAAGCAAAGGGAAAUUUUCAACUGUGGAACCAGCAACGUGAAGUCGCCAUAGUAAAAGUUGCGCACAGUAAUACUUACGUGAAUCUUUCCACACCUUUGGAAACCCUUCAGGGUCGGACACAAGGUGCUCGAUACGCAGAAGAAGAAUUGCGUGCAGAAUUUGCGGUUGGCCUUGUCGUCCACAUGUGACACAAAGCUUUUCUUGCCCCGACUCGUUAACUGGAGCAUCGAGCCCCUCAUGAAGGCUGCAUUAAACAUUUGUAGAAGGAGAUGAACGGUAACCUCCUUCCCGGCCUUCGCCGCGUAGAUGGUAAUCACCCUGCACACCUUCAACGCGUAUGGAGUAAGUUCGGCCAGGCACGCCCCGAACAAGCGACAGAGAUCCUCCGCCAAAGGGUAAAGCGGGAGGUUGUACCCGAUUCGAAAGGCAUACUCAUAAAAAGCACAAUAACCGGGCUUGUGCACAUUAGCGUGGUCUAGCCCCGCAGGGACCAUCUCAACGUGAUCAGUGAUAUUAUACGAUUCCCUGAGAGUGGCCAACUGAGACGGCAUCAGAUCACUGCGCUCCCAGGGAGGGAGUUUACACUGAUUCUUAAAGUCAUUCAUUUUACCCAUAUCGAGUGGGAGCAAGUUAGCCGUUGAUAGCGGAACAAAAACUUCCUCGGCCUCCCCAUCAUCUGAGGAUGACGAAGCCCUAGAGGAAGCAACGUCCUUGGUCCUGGUAUAAUCAUGACGACGCUUGGCCAUAGCGGAAGUUAUAUGAAAAAGGUGUUUUCGGUCACGAGUUCGAUCCCUAAGAACAAAAAUUUCAAAGAAGAAAGAACAACAAGCACCAGAAAAAGAUAAGGAAAAGAUUGGGAAAAUACUCUCAUAAAAGGUUUGAAAGAUGAAUCCAGUUAAACUCUCCCUCUAUUUAUAAGAAAGGGUACACAGAAAUCAAAAGGGCAUGAUUCAAAAACCGGCGCAGGAAACACAAACGUCACGUCAUAACCUGAACCGCCUCGGGAGCAGAGGUAAUGAUCAUGCACGUGAUCGAUGACGUCAUCUUAAAAAGAAACCCCAAAAAGAAGGUAAUAUGUCAAUGGCUUGACCUCUUCACAUAUGAGCACGUCUCUUGUAGGGGUAUCAACAGGAACGGCCAAAUUUCCAUAGGCAUCGAGCAUGUAUGUCCGUCCAUUGGAGACGCCUCUCGACUGCGUCCCCAAUGAACGGAGGGACUAUCUGUAUCGGGCAAAAUUGGUUACCUACGCCCAUAUAUUAUCUACAUACGUCCUCGGUGAAGAAAGCAACCUAAUUAUGGUCGACUCGAGUAAGGCCGGCCUCAGGUAAUAGACGGACCGAGUGACAUGACUCACUGCAA